rnacentral:rRNA from 1 species
GGAAAGUUGCAAAGAACUUUGAAGAGAGAGUUCAAGAGUACGUGAAACUGCUCGGAAGGAAACGGGUGGAUCUUCGAAGUCCGAGCGGAGCGGGAUUCAGUGGCGGGCGGCGAGGGGUGUUUGAACUUCGUACUCCCUCGCGGGGACGAGGGGCGAGCACCGUUCUCCCGUCAGCCGCGCACUUCUCGCUCCCGGUGGACGCCGCAGCCGGUCUGGCGUCGGCAGUGAGGACUGGCCGGGCGAUGGCGUGGGCGUCGAUCUCGCAUCGGCGUCCCGAUUCUGUACCGGUCGUGUUCCCGGUGCGACGCCGGUCCGAGGGAAAGUGUCCGGACUAGUUCCGGACGUGCCGCGGUCUCGCCAUGAGAAUGGCAGAGCGGGAGAGUGGUCCGGUCCUACCGGCCGUGUUGCCCACCAAGAGCGUGAGCGACCGGAAAAAGGUGAGCCGUAAGAUCGCGACCUAGCCCGCUAAGGCGAACCGAGGGCUUGCGGCGAGUAGGUCGGUAUUCCACCCGACCCGUCUUGAAACACGGACCAAGGAGUCUAACUUGUGCGCGAGUCAGUGGGACUCGAUUAAGCCCACGGGCGCAAUGAGAGUGAAUUUUUGUGUCGUGAUCCCGCGCUUCGGCGUGGGCGCAGCGACGGCCCGACUAAAAAGUUGUCCAGCGUAGCUGGCGCCGGUCGGAGCCCGAGCGUACAGGUUGGUACCCGAAAGAUGGUGAACUAUGCCCGGGCAGGUUGAAGCUAGAGGAAACUCUGGUGGAGGACCGCAGCGGUUCUGACGUGCAAAUCGAUCGUCGAACCUGG